GAUGAACGCUGACAGAAUGCUUAACACAUGCAAAGUCAACUUGAAUUUGGGUUUUUUAAUUAGGUUUGGGUGGCGGACGGGUGAGUAACGCGUAAAGAACUUGCCUCACAGCUAGGGACAACAUUUGGAAACGAAUGCUAAUACCUAAUAUUAUGAUAAUAGGGCAUCCUAUAAUUAUGAAAGCUAUAAGCGCUGUGAGAGAGCUUUGCGUCCCAUUAGCUAGUUGGAGAGGUAACGGCUCACCAAGGCGAUGAUGGGUAGCCGGCCUGAGAGGGUGAUCGGCCACAAGGGGACUGAGACACGGCCCUUACUCCUACGGGAGGCAGCAGUGGGGAAUAUUGGACAAUGGACCGAGAGUCUGAUCCAGCAAUUCUGUGUGCACGAUGAAGUUUUUCGGAAUGUAAAGUGCUUUCAGUUGGGAAGAAAAAAAUGACGGUACCAACAGAAGAAGUGACGGCUAAAUACGUGCCAGCAGCCGCGGUAAUACGUAUGUCACGAGCGUUAUCCGGAUUUAUUGGGCGUAAAGCGCGUCUAGGUGGUUAUAUAAGUCUGAUGUGAAAAUGCAGGGCUCAACUCUGUAUUGCGUUGGAAACUGUAUAACUAGAGUACUGGAGAGGUAAGCGGAACUACAAGUGUAGAGGUGAAAUUCGUAGAUAUUUGUAGGAAUGCCGAUGGGGAAGCCAGCUUACUGGACAGAUACUGACGCUGAAGCGCGAAAGCGUGGGUAGCAAACAGG
rnacentral:rRNA from 1 species